AUUGAACGCUGGCGGCAGGCCUAACACAUGCAAGUCGAGCGGAUGAAGGGAGCUUGCUCCUGGAUUCAGCGGCGGACGGGUGAGGAAUGCCUAGGAAUCUGCCUGGUAGUGGGGGAUAACGUCCGGAAACGGGCGCUAAUACCGCAUACGUCCUGAGGGAGAAAGUGGGGGAUCUUCGGACCUCACGCUAUCAGAUGAGCCUAGGUCGGAUUAGCUAGUUGGUGGGGUAAAGGCCUACCAAGGCGACGAUCCGUAACUGGUCUGAGAGGAUGAUCAGUCACACUGGAACUGAGACACGGUCCAGACUCCUACGGGAGGCAGCAGUGGGGAAUAUUGGACAAUGGGCGAAAGCCUGAUCCAGCCAUGCCGCGUGUGUGAAGAAGGUCUUCGGAUUGUAAAGCACUUUAAGUUGGGAGGAAGGGCAGUAAGUUAAUACCGUGCUGUUUUGACGUUACCAACAGAAUAAGCACCGGCUAACUUCGUG
rnacentral:rRNA from 1 species